UGAAUCACAGCUUGAAGUAGUGAUUGAGCACCUGGUAGGAAAGCAAGGCCAACCCAGGCAGCUCAGGUGCAUGCAAAAAUCCUGAGUGACCAGAAAGGGUAGGGCCAGGAUCCACCCAUUCCCAGAUUUUAUUUCAGGGUUGGCAGGGGAGGUGAUUUAAUCUCAUCUGGAGAUUCUUGCAUACUUGAGUACCUUACAGGUCUUUUGAAGGCUUGGAGAUGGAGGACAAGAGGAAUAUACACCUUGCGUAGAACUGCUGGAAACAUGAAACAGAACUUUCCUUUUCCAUGGUGUGCCAGCACACUGAAGAUCUGCAAUGAGACCAGGAGGCAGUGUGCAAGAUGAUGUCUGGCAGAGGACAGACUAGAGUAUUUUGGGACUUGAAGCAGCUGUGGAUUGUACGGAUGGUGCUGGGCCCUCUUGUGAGGAGCAAGGCUGGGCUGCCCUGACAGUGCUGGGGCAAACAGUGGAUAGCACUGUCUGGUACAGGGACUGUGCUGCGUGAUGUGGAAAAAUAGAAGUUUGGGCUUGAUUCUACAGGAUGGAAGGAAACAUUUUGGGUGUUGUGAAAUUCUUUCAAGAAGUACACAGGCUGAAUAGCUCCCAGUUUGCACAUGAACUGAAUCCUGGUAUCUUUUGGAGAAAAAUGACUUAUUUAUCAACUACAAAAAAAUCGUAAUAAUCAUGAUUCAAAGAAUCAUUUGUAAGUACAAUCAACCACUAAGGAUAUAUCUGAAGCAGAAGUCAACCUGUGAAUACAUAAAUUUCUACAAAUCUCCUUUGUGCUAAUCUUAUUUCUCAUCUAAUUGGGCUGCUUAUCUAUUUUCCAGCUAAAAUUCUGGCCACAGUAGUCACUUUUCUGAUUUACAAAUGUGUCAGUGGUGUGAUGCUGGAUUAAAUGGUAACCUACGUGAUCUGGUGAAAGGUGAUGCCUGAAGCUAUCUCUGUGCUGUUUGUAGGUGCUCUUUUUUCUUAUUUAAAAAAAUUCCUUUUAUAAUGGGUUAACUCUGGUCAAGUAAUUCCCACACAGCCGCUUGCUCAUUCCUCACAGUGGGGCUGAGAAGAGAAUCGGAAGGGUAAGAACACAGAAAGUUAAUUAAAAAAAAAAAAAAACUCACAAAAUGAGUUCCUUCACUGCUUUGACCAUUUGUCACCCCAUUGACAGGCAGAUGUUUUCCUGUAAAUUGUUAAACAGAGCUCCACUAUGUGUAGGUUUUAUUUGAGAAGAUAAAAGCUGUAACUGUGAGAGUCUUGUGC